AAAACAUGAAAAGAUCACUAUUUGGUGAAUAGCACUAUUCGGCCUUCUUAUAACCGCUCCCUGGGUAAUAGUAUGGUUCCAGUUGGUAUACUACAUUAGAUUCAACUAAUUAGAGAUCUAUAGGAAUGGUUUAAUUUGUGGAAUAUAUAUUGUUUGGAUUUUUAAUACCGGUAUAAACAUUGAUUGAGAUGAUAUUAUUUAAUAACUUAUCUUUAAUUGUAAAGGUGUAAAAUUCUUCUAUUAUAUAUAAUAAACAUAUACUCAAUAAUGUUUCUUAUGUUACUCUGAGUGUUUAUCCACACCGGGCAAGCUGAAAAGUUAGUUUGACCACGGUGGGAAUCGAACCCGCGACCUUUGGGAUACUAGUCCAAUGCUCUGCCAACUGAGCUACGAGGCCGAGUCGGUUCGAGUGUGUGGUAUUUCGGAACUAAGUCUAGUACCAAUGUGUUCUUAUGAUCAUUAUAUUUUUUGUGUGUGUUUUGAUGUUAUGUACUCAGG